UACGUAGGGCGCAAGCGUUGUCCGGAAUUAUUGGGCGUAAAGCGCACGUAGGCGGCUUUCUAAGUCAGGGGUGAAAUCCUGGAGCUCAACUCCAGAACUGCCUUUGAUACUGGAGAGCUCGAGUCCGGAAGAGGUGAGUGGAACUCCGAGUGUAGAGGUGAAAUUCGUAGAUAUUCGGAAGAACACCAGUGGCGAAGGCGGCUCACUGGUCCGGUACUGACGCUGAUGUGCGAAAGCGUGGGGAGCAAACAGG
rnacentral:rRNA from 1 species